AAUCACAUCACCCUUGAGUCUGUCUCCCUGUCAACCAUGUAGGAAUCACAAAGCUUAUCACAAAGGUGUGCUGGAUUGUCAUGAGGAUGAUUCAACACACUGGCAUUACUUUGAUGUAGAAAGAGAAGAGGGCAGGCCUAGUAGAAUGAAACUUUGUGAUGUCAUGAGUGGCUAUAACUCUGAGAAAGAGCCCCAUCUUUCUGGUCAGGAGACCAGAGAAAGGUGAUUCUGGGAGCUGAAGAAUGUGAGGGAAAUCCUGGAGAGGAAAGAAUGGGAGAAAGGGAUUCCGUGUAUGAACCAACAUAAGUCCUGGGCUUUACCUCUAAGCUCUGCAUGUGUGGAAUACACCCAAAUGCACAGCAAAGGCUUUGGAACCUGAACU